rnacentral:tRNA from 1 species
GCCUAUUUGGCUCAGUCGGUAGAGCAUGCAACUCUUGAUCUCGGGGUUGUGAGUUCGAGCCCCACACUGGGUG